AUGCCUGAUAACUGCAAGAGGAUGACCACGUACCAUGAGGCAGGGCAUGCCAUCGUUGCUAUCCACACGGAUGGCGCUGAUCCCGUCCACAAGGCUACCAUUGUUCCUAGGGAUGAUUUUCUUGGCAUGGUGUGGCAGCUGCCGGAGGAGGGCGAUGAGUAUAUAUUCUCAAGGAAAAAGAUGCAGGCAGGACUGGAUGUCCUCAUGGGAGGCCGGGCGGCUGAGGAGGUUAUCUUUGGUGAGAGCGAGGUGAGCUCCCUCACCCUGACUGACCUGGGCGAGGCGACCCAGCUGGCGACGGACAUGGUUGCCAGGUAUGGCAUGAGCAAGCAGGUCGGCCCUGUCUCCUAUGACAACAACGACGGCAGUUGGAACGCCAAGACCAUGAGCUGGAACUCGACAACCAUGGUGGACCAGGAGGUGAAAGAGUCAUUACAUGCGAAAUUCAACUCCAAGAAAAUUGCGGAAAAACAGGGGGGCUGGGAUCAUACCCACGCCAUGAGCAGACACCGUUGGUGCUCACUGCUGCCCGGUCUCCGCUUCAUUGUCCUCCACAAGUGCUGGUGCCACAGUAGAUGGUGA
rnacentral:rRNA from 1 species